AUUGAACGCUGGCGGUAGGCCUAACACAUGCAAGUCGGGCGAUUGGCGGACGGGUGAGUAAUGUAUGGGAAUUUGCCUGAUGGAGGGGGAUAACUACUGGAAACGGUAGCUAAAACCGCAUACCAUCAGAUGAACCCAUAGGGGAUUAGCUUUUAGGUGAGGUAACGGCUCACGUAGGCUACGAUCCCUAGCUGGUCUGAGAGGAUGAUCAGCCACACUGGAACGGUGACACGGCCCAGACUCCAACGGGAGACAGAAGUGGGGAAUAUUGCACAAUGGGCGCAAGCCUGAUGCAGCCAUGCCGCGUGUAUGAAGAAGGCCUUCGGGUGGUAAAGUACUUUCAGUCGGGAAGCGUUACCGACAGAAGAAGCACCGGCUAACUCCGUGCCAGCAGCCGCGGUAAUUC
rnacentral:rRNA from 1 species